GCGGAAUUAAUAAAAAACUUUUGAGUCAAGGAAACCUAUCAUGGCCUUUAUAACCAAACCAUUUGCACCAAAUAUACCAACGUACUCUGGACACUAAUGCUUUUCACACUAAUAAAACCACCACAGACAAUUAAGGUUACACUCAUCGUAGAGAAAAUUGAAAACAAUGAAGGCUACACAGAAAUCGUUUUGGAAAACAUGAUUUUAAUUCAUAAUUACAGCACAUAUUACACAUCAUAGACAUAUCCAAAAUAAAAAAUAUUAUAAACACUUUAGAAUCAAACAUUGAAAUUUUAACACACAAUGAAAACUACGACUAUAUUCAUAAUGAACUGAACAGACUUAUUUACAAAAUGCCAACACUCGUAACACAUAGAAACAAAAGAGGACUAUUCAAUAUAUAUAUUAUACAAGUAUUGUAGUAGGAACAGGAAUGAAAUGGUUAUAUGGCACAAUGGAAAUAGAGGAACAUCUUAAAGUAAUAGACGAAAACAACCAUAGAGCCAUUUCUAACUUAAAUAGAAAUAUAGAAAUAAAUAACUUUUUCAAUAAAAAAAUUUACAGACAUUAAAAAGGAAAUAAAAGACGAUAGAAAAAAAUUGAAGCUGGUAUAAACGGACUAGGCGUAAAUAGACGCUUGGAGAAACAACUCAUUUAUUUCGAUUUAUUGUUAAAAGUAAGAAUAUUAAAUGAUAAAAUUGAUCAAUUGCAAAAUAAAUAUUGCCGCUUCCAGACUCAAUAUAAUGAAAAUAUUUUAACAAAAGAAGAAAUCAUAAGGUAUGAUAUAGACAUGUUUAAAUUACAAAAUAUAAAGUUAUACACAGCACUGUAUAAAAAUAGUAAAAUAAUUUUUGUUAUUCAAAUACCAAAUUAAAUUAUAAAUGCUAGAAAAUCUAUGUUUACACCACUUCCUAACAAUAGAUCACAAGAGUUAGUAUUCAGUACAGAAGAAGUUGUAAAAAUAAAUAAUACUUGUGCAUACUAUUCAUUUCAAGAAGACUUAAUGAACAUGUGAUGUAGCUCCGCACACAUUAUUUAAACAUAAAUAUCAUUUUAUUUGUACAUGUAUUAUAUAUAAACAUAUAUAUAUACAUACAAGUAUUUACAAAUAAAAUAUUGACCGAAGCAUUUAAACAUAGAUGCCUUUUCAUUCAUACUUGGAAGGUAGUAAAAUGUUAAAAGACCGUUCUGCGACAGGCGUUAACAGCCAUGGCUACAAAAGAUAUCCUUGGUCACCUUACAAUCACGAAUAUAUAUUAUACAUAUUUAUAUGUUAUAUGUAAAUACAAGUACUUAUGUAGCGUAUACGUGUUGGAGAUGUGGUGCAAAAACAUAUGGCAAGACCCGGGAUAUCUCUCGUUGACAGCGGUGAACAGAAGUCGAUGAUAACACAUGAUGAGACAUCACAGAUUUAUGAGGAAAUUUUGAGCAUUAGACUAUUUACGCCAGCAAGCCAUAAGGUAACUCUCACAAAACUCAUAAUAGUAAUAAAUUUGCAUUACUCUCAUUUGGAGGUUUCAGCUAGAUGUGUUGCGAAUGCAUUUGCUUUAUCGCAAGCACUUCUAGCCCAUGUAUUACUGUUAAUUUUUAAUGGCGCAACGUGACAUGUUGGACGUUUAAGAUAUUUGGUAGCGAGUAAUCAUCUUUUUUAUCAGUCGAUAGUUGAGAUAAGGAUUUGUGUAUUGACUCAUUCUUAAUAUAAGUGAUUUCUCGUUUCUCUCAGCUGCUGGUCUAUUAAAGGGGUUUUGUCUAGUGAUGAGCGUGUUGGUUGCCAUAUGUGAACCUAUAAUUUUCCGCUUUAUCUCCGGAGUAUUAUCCCAAGCAGUUUGUUUAAGUUCUUUUGUAAACCUGUCAAUUUCU